UCUUGACUCCAUGAGCCUCAAAGAUCUUCAGAAUCUUGAACAACAACUUGACACUGCUCUCAAGAACAUCCGAUCUAGAAAGAAUCAACUCUUGUACGAUUCCAUCUCCGAAUUGCAGCGAAAGGAAAAGGCAAUACAAGAGGAAAA